GAUGAACGCUGGCGGCGUGCCUAAUACAUGCAAGUCGAGCGAACAGACGAGGAGCUUGCUCCUCUGACGUUAGCGGCGGACGGGUGAGUAACACGUGGAUAACCUACCUAUAAGACUGGGAUAACUUCGGGAAACCGGAGCUAAUACCGGAUAAUAUAUUGAACCGCAUGGUUCAAUAGUGAAAGACGGUUUUGCUGUCACUUAUAGAUGGAUCCGCGCCGCAUUAGCUAGUUGGUAAGGUAACGGCUUACCAAGGCGACGAUGCGUAGCCGACCUGAGAGGGUGAUCGGCCACACUGGAACUGAGACACGGUCCAGACUCCUACGGGAGGCAGCAGUAGGGAAUCUUCCGCAAUGGGCGAAGGCCUGACGGAGCAACGCCGCGUGAGUGAUGAAGGUCUUCGGAUCGUAAAACUCUGUUAUUAGGGAAGAACAAAUGUGUAUGUAACUAUGCACGUCUUGACGGUACCUAAUCAGAAAGCCACGGCUAACUACGUG
rnacentral:rRNA from 1 species